rnacentral:rRNA from 1 species
UGGGGAAUAUUGCACAAUGGGCGCAAGCCUGAUGCAGCCAUGCCGCGUGUGUGAAGAAGGCCUUCGGGUUGUAAAGCACUUUCAGCGAGGAGGAAGGUGGUGGACUUAAUACGUUCAUCAAUUGACGUUACUCGCAGAAGAAGCACCGGCUAACUCCGUGCCAGCAGCCGCGGUAAUACGGAGGGUGCAAGCGUUAAUCGGAAUUACUGGGCGUAAAGCGCACGCAGGCGGUUUGUUAAGUCAGAUGUGAAAUCCCCGGGGCUCAACCUGGGAACUGCAUUUGAAACUGGCAAGCUAGAGUCUCGUAGAGGGGGGCUAGAAUUCCAGGUGUAGCGGUGAAAUGCGUAGAGAUCUGGAGGAAUACCGGUGGCGAAGGCGGCCCCCCUGGACGAAGACUGACGCUCAGGCUGCGAAAGCGUGGGGCAGCAAACAGGAUUAGAUACCCUGGUAGUCCACGCUGU